rnacentral:rRNA from 1 species
UACAGAGGGGGCCAGCGUUAUUCGGAAUUAUUGGGCGUAAAGGGCGCGUAGGCGGCCAUGCGUGUCUUCCGUGAAAUCCCUCGGCUUAACUGAGGACGUGCGGAAGAAACUGCAAGGCUUGAGUCCGGGAGAGGGGGGUGGAAUUCCCAGUGUAGCGGUGAAAUGCGCAGAUAUCGGGAGGAACAUCAAUGGCGAAGGCAGCUCGCUGGGACGUUACUGACGCUGAGACGCGAAAGCGUGGGGAGCAAACAGG